CAGUCGCCGCGGUAAUACGAAGGGGGCUAGCGUUGUUCGGAUUUACUGGGCGUAAAGGGUGCGUAGGCGGAUUGUUAAGUCAGGGGUGAAAUGCCGGGGCUCAACCUCGGAACUGCCUUUGACACUGGCGAUCUUGAGUCCGGGAGAGGUGAGUGGAACUGCGAGUGUAGAGGUGAAAUUCGUAGAUAUUCGCAAGAACACCAGUGGCGAAGGCGGCUCACUGGCCCGGAACUGACGCUGAGGCACGACAGCGUGGGGAGCAAACAGGAUUAGAUACCCGCGUAGUCCCUGUCUCUUAUAC
rnacentral:rRNA from 1 species